AGUCCCAGGGUGAAGGGAGGCAGCUUCAGUCCUGGGGCCAACAGCACAUCUGAGGAAAUCAGGGCCCCUGGAACACAGCCUGCGGGACUUGGGGCACAUCUGCUGCCCAAUCCAGAGCUUGAAUGCUCCUGGUGAGAAAGGAUAACAAACAGCACUUCCCCGUGGCAGAUGCUUCACAGUCCAAGACUCGGGGCCUUGAAUGAUCCAGGAAGGCCACUGAGAUUUCCACUUUAUCUACUGUUUCUUGUGCACGUACUUACCAUAAACCAAAACAGCCUCUGUGUUAUCAUCCUUCAAUGUUCAACACAUCGCAUCGGAGUCGCCCUUUCCCUACAGAAUAUAAGCUCUGGGUCUGGGGGCUAAUAGUGUGGGGAUCCACCAUCUUGUCUUGCCACCACCUGAGACACAGAUGUGGCUUCUAUUCGUAUGUCCCUAUUAAAUGUUUUUCUCUGAGAA
rnacentral:antisense_RNA from 1 species